CCUACGGGUGGCAGCAGUGGGGAAUAUUGCACAAUGGGGGAAACCCUGAUGCAGCGACGCCGCGUGAGUGAAGAAGUCAUUCGUUAUGUAAAGCUCUAUCAGCAGGGAAGAAAAUGACGGUACCUGAGUAAGAAGCCCCGGCUAACUACGUGCCAGCAGCCGCGGUUAUACGGAGGGGGCCAGCGUUAUCCGGAUUUACUGGGGGUAAAGGGAGCGUAAACGGCAGUGCAAGUCUGGAGGGAAAGGCGGGGGUGCAACCCCCGGACUGCUCUUGAAACUGUACGGCUUGAGUGCAGGAGAGGUAAGUGGAAUGCGUAGUGUAGCGGUGAAAUGCGUAGAUAUUAGGAGGAA
rnacentral:rRNA from 1 species